rnacentral:rRNA from 1 species
AUUGAACGCUGGCGGCAGGCCUAACACAUGCAAGUCGAACGGUAACAGGAAGAAGCUUGCUUCUUUGCUGACGAGUGGCGGACGGGUGAGUAAUGUCUGGGAAACUGCCUGAUGGAGGGGGAUAACUACUGGAAACGGUAGCUAAUACCGCAUAACGUCGCAAGACCAAAGAGGGGGACCUUCGGGCCCCUUGCCAUCGGAUGUGCCCAGAUGGGAUUAGCUAGUAGGUGGGGUAACGGCUCACCUAGGCGACGAUCCCUAGCUGGUCUGAGAGGAUGACCAGCCACACUGGAACUGAGACACGGUCCAGACUCCUACGGGAGGCAGCAGUGGGGAAUAUUGCACAAAGGGCGCAAGCCUGAUGCAGCCAUGCCGCGUGUAUGAAGAAGGCCUUCGGGUUGUAAAGUACUUUCAGCGGGGAGGAAGGGAGUAAAGUUAAUACCUUUGCUCAUUGACGUUACCCGCAGAAGAAGCACCGGCUAACUCCGUG